rnacentral:lncRNA from 1 species
UUAAGUUCUGAGAUACUAUUUAUGAAGGAAAGAAAACAGAAUAGUAAUACACAUCAUCCAUUCUAAGAUACCAACAGAAAUCAAACCUUACAUUUUUACUUAUUUACCGGUGUCGCUGGGGGUCUAUAAGGGUUCCCACUAUAUGUGGACUAAACAUUCAUUCUAUUAAUCAACUAGUCGUCACCAUACCCCAUUCGGUAAUGGGUACCAAACAUACCACCGCCUCAAUACCCCAUCCGGUAUAAGCAUGAUCAAAACACUUCCCAACCCCUUCCGGUAUAGGACUUCUUAGCCCCAUUCAACUGAGAAUAACGUCCACGGUAGGAUUUGCCCUAUAUACAGGGUUUGUACACCCUUUCCCAUGACACUCGGUAAGCCUCUUCUAGUUACUUAACACAUAUAUGUCCCCAUCACCAUUUAGCACCAAUACAUGCAACACUCACAUUUUAAUAUUUCAAGACAAUAGUAUGAUUCCUUUAAUAAGCAAUAUAGUUCAAUACUCAAUAAUUCAAGAAAGUGAAUUUAAGAAAUUUAUUUCAAAUCAGAUUAACGAAUAGAGAUUAAAAAAACGGUUGUGUAAACUAAUAAACAAGAAAAGCAAUUAAAAUGAACAAAAUAAAGUACACGAAGUAACGAUAAACAAGUAAGGCAGUAUAGCAAUAAAUAGACAACACAGA